CCUACGGGAGGCAGCAGUGGGGAAUAUUGGACAAUGGGGGAAAGCCUGAUCCAGCCAUGCCGCGUGUGUGAAGAAGGUCUUCGGAUUGUAAAGCACUUUAAGUUGGGAGGAAGGGCAGUAAAUUAAUACCUUGCUGUUUUGACGUUACCGACAGAAUAAGCACCGGCUAACUCUGUGCCAGCAGCCGCGGUAAUA
rnacentral:rRNA from 1 species